CCCUUAGAGGUUGAUUCUGGCUCAGGAUGAACGCUGGCGGCGUGCUUAACACAUGCAAGUCGAACGGGAAACAUUUUAAUGAAGCUUCGGCAGAUUUAGCUUGUUUCUAGUGGCGGACGGGUGAGUAACGCGUGGGUAACCUGCCUCACACUGGGGGAUAACAGUCAGAAAUGACUGCUAAUACCGCAUAAGCGCACGGAACCGCAUGGUUUUGUGUGAAAAACUCCGGUGGUGUGAGAUGGACCCGCGUUGGAUUUACCAGUUGGCAGGGCAACGGCCCUACCAAAAGCGACGAUCCAUAGCCGGCUGGAGAGGGUGAACGGCCACAUUGGGACUGAGACACGGCCCAGACUCCUACGGGAGGCAGCAGUGGGGAAUAUUGCACAAUGGGGGAAACCCUGAUGCAGCGACGCCGCGUGAAGGAAGAAGUAUCUCGGUAUGUAAACUUCUAUCAGCAGGGAAGAAAAUGACGGUACCUGACUAAGAAGCCCCGGCUAACUACGUGCCAGCAGCCGCGGUAAUACGUAGGGGGCAAGCGUUAUCCGGAUUUACUGGGUGUAAAGGGAGCGUAGACGGAAUGGCAAGUCUGAUGUGAAAGGCAGGGGCUCAACCCCUGGACUGCAUUGGAAACUGUCAGUCUUGAGUACUGGAGGGGUAAGCGGAAUUCCUAGUGUAGCGGUGAAAUGCGUAGAUAUUAGGAGGAACACCAGUGGCGAAGGCGGCUUACUGGACGGUAACUGACGUUGAGGCUCGAAAGCGUGGGGAGCAAACAAGAUUAGAUACCCUGGUAGUCCACGCCGUAAAC
rnacentral:rRNA from 1 species